UCUGGCAUGGCUCAGUUGGUAGAGCAUGAGACUCUUAAUCUCAGGCUCGUGAGUUCGAGCCCCACAUUGGCCGAAA
rnacentral:tRNA from 1 species